rnacentral:rRNA from 1 species
UACGUAGGGUGCGAGCGUUAAUCGGAAUUACUGGGCGUAAAGUGUGCGCAGGCGGCCGCGCAAGUCGAGUGUGAAAGCCCCGAGCUUAACUUGGGAACUGCGCUCGAAACUACGUGGCUGGAGUGUGGCAGAGGAAGGUGGAAUUCCAGGUGUAGCGGUGAAAUGCGUAGAGAUCUGGAGGAACACCGAUGGCGAAGGCAGCCUUCUGGGCCAACACUGACGCUCAUGCACGAAAGCGUGGGGGAGCAAAACAGGG